rnacentral:rRNA from 1 species
AUGCGGAACGGCGCGCAGGCUCCUCGCGGCACCGGCGGCGGGGGCGGCGGCGGGCUCUUCUCCGCGCGCUCGCUCUCCAGCUACAUGCGCAUCGUCUCCUCGGGGGCGUCCACGGCCGCCUCCACGCUGCGCUCCGCCGGCGCCUCGCUGGUCAACUCGAUCGCCAGCCACGACGAGGAUGCGGGCCGCGACCAGGUACAAUGGGCUGGGUUUGAUAAACUUGAAUGUGGGGGUGACGUGCUGCGACAGGUUUUGCUGCUAGCAUACAGAUCAGGCUUCCAAGUAUGGGAUGUUGAACAAGCCGAUGAUGUAAGACAGAUAGAAUCAAGACAUGAUGGUGCUGUUUCUUUCAUACAACUGCUGAAGAAACCAAUUGCCUCUAAGAGAGGUGAAGACAGAUUUGUAGAUGCACGGCCAUUGCUGGCUCUUGCUGGUGGUGGAACUAGCACAGGAAGUGCAAACGGCCAUGAUGCCAAUGGCCCUGGCUUCAAUGGAACUAAUGGCACUUACCAUAAUAGUGGCAGUGAAAAACUGCCUACCAUCGUUCGCUUUUAUUCGCUGAAGGACCACGGUUAUGUUCAUUCAAUGAAGUUCAGAUCAGCUGUUUAUUCCAUAAGGUGCAGUCCUAGAGUUGUAGCUGUUUCUCAGGCUACUCAGAUCCAUUGUUUUGAUGCUGCGACAUUGGAGCUGGACUAUACACUUCUUACCAGCCCUAUACUUUCACCGAUUUCUGGUUAUGGCCCACUUGGGUUAGGUCCAAGAUGGAUUGCGUAUUCUGGGAGUCCAGUUCCAGUUCCAAAUACAGGCCGUGUUAGCCCUCAGCUUCUGAGCCUGUCUCCCAUAGUUCCGCCUCCUGGUUCAAACGGCAGUGUGGUUGCAUACUAUGCAAAAGAAUCAAGCAAGCAAUUGGCUGCUGGCAUUGUGACGCUUGGUGAUGUUGGCUAUAAGAAGCUGUCCAGGUAUUAUUCAGACAUGAUUCCAAAUGGUAAUGGUAAUAUAAAGCAAGGGAAUGCUGGCUUCAAAGCAAAUGGAGUAACAAAUGGGCAUACUAUUGACAGUGAAUAUGCAGGAACGGUCAUUGUUCGAGAUAUUGUAUCUAAAGCAAUGAUAGUUCAGUUCAGGGCACAUACAAGUCCCAUUUCAGCACUCUGUUUUGAUCCCAGUGGAACUUUGCUGGUGACAGCUUCUAUUCAUGGCCGAAACAUCAACGUUUUUCGCAUUAUGCCUUCUGUGGAUGGGAGUGCAUCAGAAGAUGGUCCAAAUGGUGCCUACGUUCAUUUGUUUAAAUUGCAAAGAGGCAUCACCAAUGCGGUCAUAAAAGAUAUCAGCUUUAGCGACGACAGUGAAUGGAUACUGAUUAGCUCGUCGAGGGGAACAAGUCAUUUCUUUGCAAUAUCUCCAUAUAGUGGAUCCACAAGCUUUCGCUAUAGUGAUAACAACCUUGCAGAAAAUAAUUAUGUUGUGGAUUCAUCAGUUAAGCAUGCCACUCAUUGGUCUCAAAACGCAAGUCCCUCUUUGAGCCUUAGUCAGAAGAUGCUUUCUCUAUCUGGCCCCCCUGUCGCAUUAUCUGUUGUUAGUAGAAUAAGAAAUGGGACUAACUUGUUGAAGGGUGCUGUCCAUGGUGCUGCAGCAUUUGCAACAGGUGUUUCCAGUCCAAUUUCUGGUGCUAUUGCUUCAACAUUUCACAACUGCAAGGGUGGUGUUAAUUCAGAUGACAGUUUGCUUUGCAUGAAGUAUUAUUUACUAGUUUUUUCUCCUUCUGGGAGUAUCAUACAGUAUGUUCUCCAUCACUCAGCUGAACCAGAUUCUGGAAUUGAUUAUCCUUCAGAUGCCACUUAUGGAUCUCAAAGAGAAACUGACACAAGAUUUGUUAUUGAACCUCUUCAGAAGUGGGAUGUUUGUCAAAAGAGAAAUAGAAGAGAUACUGCUGAGAGUAAUUUAUAUAAUGAUUUUGACAGUGGUGAAAAUAAUAAAAUUUUCCAGAAAGUGGUCCGGAAAGGAACUAGUAUCUAUCCAUCCAAUGGUGCUGCUACUGAAAGGCUGAAGCUUAGCGCUGAUGAAAAUCAUAAUUAUUAUAUUUCGGAGAGUGAACUGCAGACACAUGUUGUGCAGAUUCCAGUCUGGUCAAGAUCCGGGGUGCACUUUCAAGUAAUAGGGAGCGACACCUUAGAAGCAUAUGCCACUGAUAACAUUUCAGGGGAAAUCGAAAUUGAAAAAGUCCAGAGUUAUAAUGUGGAAUCAAGGUCAAAGAAUCUCAUACCGGUCUUUGACUCACUUCACACAUCUAGGUUUCAACAGACAAGGGUGAACACACCUGAUAGUAACAGAAGUGGGUUGCUGCAGCGACAUAAGUCUGGAUUUUCAGCAGAUGGUAGACUCUCUUCCAGAAGCAGUUGCAGUUCUUUGGAUUGCAUGUCUGAAGUCCCAAAUAGUUCUGAUGAUAACAGUGUUGGCCAAUAUUUAGUAGAAGAUAGUGCUGCUGCUGCUGCUGUAAAUAAGAACUUGAACGUUAACCACCAAGCCGAGCUUGUAAAUAACACUGAGAGCCUGAACACGGAGGCCCAGCUCGAGUUGUAA